rnacentral:rRNA from 1 species
ACACGACUACAUUAGAUACCCGCGUAGUCCUAGCCCUAAACGAUACUCGCUAGGUGUCGGCCACGGUGCGACCGUUGUCGGUGCCGUAGGGAAGCCGUGAAGCGAGCCACCUGGGAAGUACGGCCGCAAGGCUGAAACUUAAAGGAAUUGGCGGGGAGCACCACAACGGGUGGAGCCUGCGGUUUAAUUGGACUCAACGCCGGGAAGCUCACCGGAUAAGACAGCGGAAUGAUUGCCGGGCUGAAGACUCUGCAUGACUAGCUG